AUUCAGUACCAGUGUGAGCAACACAAGUCCUGUGAAGCUGUUGUUGCAAAGCACUCUACUGAAGCAUUUGGCAUUUCAGUCAUGUUUGGAAUAGAUGUUUCUCUAAGAAGCAUUCAAGUUGCUCCCUAAAGAACCCAUUCUACAGGAAUGUAAUUCUGGAACUGUGGAAGAAAGCAUACUGAAAAUGCCAACUAAGUGUGAUACAGCAGUAAAAAGAUUUCUGGUUUGUUUGAUUGGUUUGUUUAUAAAAAAAUUGGAGGGAAAGAAGUGAAUAAACGGAGGCUUGCCUGCAGCAGAAAGUUAAGCCAAGGACUCCAGUUGAAAAGCUGGAGAGUUGAAGUGCGUGCAAGUUCCAUCUGAAGUUCAAGUGAAGGAGUUCAAAUAGUACAAGUUCCAGUUGGAGUUGAAGCUACAGUCUUGGAGAGCCAGGAGAGGAGAACUGAGAAGAGCUGCUGAAAUCAGAGCUGAGAAAUCACUGGGGGAGUUGAGCUGAAACUCUCUGAAGAACUGAAUCACUCUCAAAGCAGCUGAAAGAACCAUCUGGAAUUAAACAGCCAGAACUGGAUAGAAAGAGCAAGACCUGAGACUGCAAAAGCCAGGGUCGCUGCAGAAGUUGACUAGAGGUUAUUAUAAGAAAACUCCUGAUAAGGACACCAAGAUAGGGUACACUAUUAGGUGCAGGUUAGAUUGGAUGUGUUUUUAUUCUAUUUUAUUUGGUCCUUAUGCUCAUAUUGUUGCUGUUUCUUUGUACUAAAUUUUCCAAAAGAACUACUAUUUUGAACUAAACUAUU